rnacentral:tRNA from 1 species
GCCCCUAUGAUGGAAUUGGCGAGACAUGCUGGUUUUAGAAACCAGUGCCGUAAAAAGCGUGUAGGUUCGAAUCCUACUAGGGGUA